AUUGAACGCUGGCGGCAUGCCUUACACAUGCAAGUCGAACGGCAGCGCGGACUUCGGCCUGGCGGCGAGUGGCGAACGGGUGAGUAAAGCAUCGGAACGUGCCUAGGAGUGGGGGAUAACGUAGCGAAAGUUACGCUAAUACCGCAUAUUCUGUGAGCAGGAAAGCAGGGGAUCUUCGGACCUUGUGCUUCUGGAGCGGCCGAUGUCAGAUUAGCUAGUUGGUGAGGUAAAGGCUCACCAAGGCGACGAUCUGUAGCGGGUCUGAGAGGAUGAUCCACCACACUGGGACUGAGACACGGCCCAGACUCCUACGGGAGGCAGCAGUGGGGAAUUUUGGACAAUGGGGCAACCCUGAUCCAGCCAUGCCGCGUGAGUGAAGAAGGCCUUCGGGUUGUAAAGCUCUUUCGGCCGGGAAAAAAUCGCUUGGGCUAAUACCUCAAGUGGAUGAUGGUACCGGAAUAAGAAGCACCGGCUAACUACGUGCCAGCCGCCGCAGUAA
rnacentral:rRNA from 1 species